rnacentral:rRNA from 1 species
UACAGAGGUCUCAAGCGUUGUUCGGAUUCAUUGGGCGUAAAGGGUGCGUAGGUGGCGCGGUAAGUCGGGUGUGAAAUCUCGGGCUUAACUCCGAAACUGCAUUCGAUACUGCCGUGCUUGAGGACUGGAGAGGAGACUGGAAUUUACGGUGUAGCGGUGAAAUGCGUAGAUAUCGUAAGGAAGACCAGUGGCGAAGGCGGGGUCUCUGGACAGUUCCUGACGCUGAGGCACGAAGGUCAGGGGAGCAAACGGG